UCGAGUGGCGAACGGGUGAGUAACACGUGAGUAACCUGCCCUUGACUUUGGGAUAACUUCAGGAAACUGGGGCUAAUACCGGAUAGGAGCUCCUGCUGCAUGGUGGGGGUUGGAAAGUUUCGGCGGUUGGGGAUGGACUCGCGGCUUAUCAGCUUGUUGGUGGGGUAGUGGCUUACCAAGGCUUUGACGGGUAGCCGGCCUGAGAGGGUGACCGGCCACAUUGGGACUGAGAUACGGCCCAGACUCCUACGGGAGGCAGCAGUGGGGAAUAUUGCACAAUGGGCGGAAGCCUGAUGCAGCAACGCCGCGUGCGGGAUGACGGCCUUCGGGUUGUAAACCGCUUUCGCCUGUGACGAAGCGUGAGUGACGGUAAUGGGUAAAGAAGCACCGGCUAACUACGUGCCAGCAGCCGCGGUGAUACGUAGGGUGCGAGCGUUGUCCGGAUUUAUUGGGCGUAAAGGGCUCGUAGGUGGUUGAUCGCGUCGGAAGUGUAAUCUUGGGGCUUAACCCUGAGCGUGCUUUCGAUACGGGUUGACUUGAGGAAGGUAGGGGAGAAUGGAAUUCCUGGUGGAGCGGUGGAAUGCGCAGAUAUCAGGAGGAACACCAGUGGCGAAGGCGGUUCUCUGGGCCUUUCCUGACGCUGAGGAGCGAAAGCGUGGGGAGCGAACAGGCUUAGAUACCCUGGUAGUCCACGCUGUAAACGGUGGGUACUAGGUGUGGGGUCCAUUCCACGGGUUCCGUGCCGUAGCUAACGCUUUAAGUACCCCGCCUGGGGAGUACGGCCGCAAGGCUAAAACUCAAAGGAGUUGACGGGGCCCCGCACAAGCGGCGGAGCAUGCGGAUUAAUUCGAUGCAACGCGUAGAACCUUACCUGGGUUUGACAUGGAUCGGGAGUGCUCAGAGAUGGGUGUGCCUCUUUUGGGGUCGGUUCACAGGUGGUGCAUGGCUGUCGUCAGCUCGUGUCGUGAGAUGUUGGGUUAAGUCCCGCAACGAGCGCAACCCUUGUUCACUGUUGCCAGCACGUUAUGGUGGGGACUCAGUGGAGACCGCCGGGGUCAACUCGGAGGAAGGUGGGGAUGACGUCAAGUCAUCAUGCCCCUUAUGUCCAGGGCUUCACGCAUGCUACAAUGGCUGGUACAGAGAGUGGCGAGCCUGUGAGGGUGAGCGAAUCUCGGAAAGCCGGUCUCAGUUCGGAUUGGGGUCUGCAACUCGACCUCAUGAAGUCGGAGUCGCUAGUAAUCGCAGAUCAGCAACGCUGCGGUGAAUACGUUCCCGGGGCUUGUACACACCGCCCGUCAAGUCAUGAAAGUUGGUAACACCCGAAGCCGGUGGCCUAACCGUUGUGGGGGAGCCGUCGAAGGUGGGACUGGUGAUUAGGACUA
rnacentral:rRNA from 1 species